UGGGUCCCUAACCUAUAAUCUCAGCUUCCCUACCCUGGACUGAAGGGUCUGCCCAUCCCCCCACCACCCUCCAUCCUGGGGGCCCUCGCACAAAUCUGGGGUGGGAGGGGCUAGGCUGACCCCAUCCUCCUCUCCCUCCAGGAGCCCCCAGCAUGUCCUGACCUGUGCACGGGGAUGGGGGGACAACUCCUACCCUUCUUUCCCCACAUGC
rnacentral:lncRNA from 1 species